UUUCCGUAGGUGAACCUGCGGAAGGAUCAUUGCAAAUGAUUUGGGAGAAAUUUGUUGGAAUGUGCGAUAUAUGCGAGUGUCAAAUUUUUUACUAUCAUUACAACUCUCCACAAUGGAUCUCUGGGCUCUU
rnacentral:misc_RNA from 1 species